UGGGUGCGGCUUCCACUGGCUGACAACUGAUGUCCAUCGCCAUGCCAACUCCCUGGGUGGCGUCUGCUGCAACUGAUGUCUGCGUCGUUUUUCCAGAGCAUUGCCAUGCCAGAAAUAGGCAGUUUUUAUUGAGUUUUCUCGUGAAUUGAUCAGUAAUGUACACUUAAACAAAAAAAAAAAAAGUAAAGAAAAAUAUACUGUGCAAAUGUAGGCCUCUGUCUUAAUGAAUUUGGCCAUGUGUGUUUCUGUGCCAAACAAAUGAUCGGGAUGGGAGGAGCGAAGGUGCCGAAGCUGCUUCUCCACCUUUGUAUCAAGAAUGAACUUUUAUGAAUGGUUUUGAUUUGCUCUAUCAGGCAUUGAUGCCUUUGCAGACAGCUUUGUUCACAGAUCAGUACAUAUUUUACUCUAAUGGUUGUCACUACACACAAUCUCAAUAUCAACUGCAUUUCUGGCCUGGCUAUUGUGAAAAAAAGGGUUCUUCUCCAUCCAGACGCCAAAGCUCUGAGGACAAGGUCCUGAAAUGUGUGCUCCAGCUCUGAAUCCACAAGCAAAGAGGAGAAAGCUGUGACAGAAGCAAAGGAACACGUCAACUCCGUGAAAAAACGCCCUCAAGUCUUAAUUUUUUCCAAAAAUUUUGUAUUUUAAAGUCAUGUAUACACUUUUUUUUUUUUUUUACGUAGGUCAUAAAACAAUUUUGUCAUUCGCUAUUUUGUAAGAAAAAAAAGAGAGUGGGAAAAGAGAAGUGGAUCCAUUGGACAGAAAAUGUUUUUCUUAUAUUUUUACAACUUUAUAUUGGCUUUCCCAGCAGUUAAUGUUUUUAUAUAUUUACUAUGCGGUCCAUAUCAGUUAUUGUAUACCUUUUGCCUCUACUGUAUUCUACAAAUCUGGGCCAGUUACAUGCUGCUAGUCAUUCUCACUGAAAUACUUCUUGUCUGCUUUUGAGUUUUACAGCAAAAAAUAAUAAAAAUAAAAAAAGCUUCAAGGUUGAAAAGAUGUUUGAUUCCUUUGCUGUCCUCAGAGUGAGUUGCACAAUGUAACUGCCUUGAUAUUUAUUUUCAGACAAAUAAUUCAAGGGAUGUGCAGCUCAACAGAGUAAUGCAAGUAAUGUUUGUGUCAUGCCAUGCUAAUAAAAUGAAGUUUUAAGAC
rnacentral:lncRNA from 1 species